UUCCCUAUAAAGAGAAAAAGGGAUACUGGGAAAAAGGGGGGAGGGGAGUCCAAUAUUUUAAGGAGGAGACCUAAUAAAAAAAAAAGGGAAGAAAAGAAGAGGAGCUAGCAGCACGGCAGCCCUUUCAUCUUCACAAAUAAAAAACAAAAGUUUGUCUCCUCUUCUCAUAUACACUAUGGGAGCUCCAUCAUCUUCUUUGUUUCGCCGCUAACUCCAUCGUUUCAGCUUUUUUUUUUUUAUCAUCAUCUCACCAUUAGAACCAGCUCUCCCCCACCACAAAAACCUGUUGAAAUCAGCCUCAAAACAGUCCCAAACCCAGCCAUUAGAGCCACCCAAAAUCAGCUACUAUUCACGUCAAAAUACAGCCAAAAUAGCCCCGAAACACUACUGAAACACAGCAAAAUCAGCUGCAAAAAAAUAUUAAAAAAAACUGCAGAAAAAUUAAUUCUUUUGGUAGUUUAGUCCGGGGUAAAAACAGUCGAGUCGAGGUUCGAAGUUCGUUGAGGUCUUCGUACGCGGUUCACAAUUUCCAAAUAAUUUGUUGCUGUACAUUUGAACUUCUCUUGUUAAUAUAUUGGAAAGCUUAUUCAAAGGUUCAUCUUUUAUCCUCUUAUCUAAUUUUACUUAAAUAUUGCUAUAGCGUUUUAUAUUUGAAUAUUGUUACAUGAUUAUCUGAAAUUCAUGAGUUCAGUUCUACUGCCUUAGUUCGUAGUAUCUCUCUUAGUUACUUUAAUUAGUUUAUCUAUUUUGGUGAUGUAUGUGGCCUGUGUUCUUGAAUGAAUGCAUUAAAUUGUUAGAUGGAUUAAGUUGGCAAAUCAGUGGUUCGUGUUAGAAUGUUUAAUGAGCUUAUGGAAUUUAAUUUUUCAACAAUAAGGAUUGGUUCUAGCCCUUUUAAAUAACUUUGAGUCCCAAUAAGUCUGAAUUUCUGCAAAGCCUAGUGUUAAUGAAUUUAGUAAAUAACAGAAUUUCUCCAACAUCUUAAUGAUCUAAUGGACUAGCUAAGGGAAUCUAAAUUAGUUUAAUUUUUCCUACAAUCCCUCCAUAAUCCGUGACACUGCAGUAAUCUCGAACUUAGGAAAUGAAUAAUAAACAUAGUGUGCUUUAGGCACACUUUUGAUUAACUAUGUAUACGUUCGCGUGACAUAAUUUUGAUUUCCAAAAUUGAAAACGAAGUAUGCGUUCGCGCGACUUUGGGCAAAAUAAUCUUAAUAAAAUAAGGUGUUAUUAGUUGUGUACACAUACGCGUGACAUGAUUCUUGACGCGCCAAAUGAAAUGAGUACACGUACGCAUGACUCGUUUUAAGAUAAUUCCAUAAUUACUAAUAAUCAAGCAAUUAAAAGCGGUAAAAAGGUAAAUGUACAUAGGUUCUAAAAUGAGUAAUUAAACCAUUUAAUUAAGCCAGGUAUGAUUAAAGCGACCGUGCUAAAACCACGAAAUUCGAGAGUGACUCACACCUUCUCUCGGGUUAACAGAAUUUCUUACCCGGUCUUCUGUGUUUGCGGACCGUAAAACAGAGUCAAAUUUCCUCGAUUUGGGAUUUAAAAUAAACCGGUGACUUGGGACACCAGCUUUUAUCCCAAGUGGCGACUCUGAAUCUAAUAAAUAAUCCCAUUUCGAUUAAUGUCACUUAAAUUGGAAAAACUCCUUUCUUUCCUAUUCCCCCGGGAAAAAGGAGGUGUGACAAACGCGUAGGCUUAUGAUUUCAGACUUCGCGAACGCGGGACUGACAUCGCGAACGCGAAGCAUAAAAUUCCUACCUGCCUCAGAUCCUCUUCGCGAUCGCGGAACACCCCUCGCGAACGCGAAGAAGGAAACCAGCAACUGAAGAACACCAGAAUCUGCUAUCUCCCACAGGCCAAAAAUGAUCCGUUAACCACCCGAAACUCACCCGAGGCCCUCGGGACCUCAACCAAACCUACCAACAAGUCCUAAAAUAUCAUACGAACUUAAUAGAAUUCUCAAAUUACCUCAAACAACAUCAAAAACUCGAAUUACAUACGGAUUCAAGUCUAAUGAACUUUAAAAUUUCUAAAUUCUACAAACAACGUCGAAACAUAUUAAAUCACGUCCCAAUGACCUCAAAUUUUACACACAAGUCAAAAAUGACACCACGAACCUACUCCAACUUCCGAAAAAUCAAUCCGAACCCGAUAUCAAAAUUUUCAAUGUCGGCCAAAAUCGCCAAAAUUCCAACUUUCGCCAAUUCAAGCCUAAUUCUACUAAGAACCUCCAAAUCACAUUUCAGACGCGCUCCUAAGUCCAAAAUCACCUAACGGAGCUAACGGAACCAUCAAAAUUUAAAUCCAAGGUUGUUUACAUACAAGUCGACAUCCUGUUGACUUUUUCAACUUAAGCUUCCAAUUAAGAGACUAAGUGUCUCAAUUCAUUCCGAAAACCAAAAUAAGCCCUCCCGGUAAGACACAAUAGCAGAAAUAGAUAUGGGAGAAACAAUUAAUAGGGGAUCAGGGCCAUAACUCUCAAGACGACCAACCGGGUCGUCAUAGUGCUUAUACGGAUUGUCUCAUGAAAUUAAUUAAAGAAUAUGCAAGAACUGCACAUUACCUGUUACAUUAAAUUUUAUCAUUAAAACAAUAUUACAAUUUAAAUAAAAUAACACAUACUAAAGAAAUGUUUAUUUCUCCCCAGGCAACUUUGAUCACCAUCAAGG
rnacentral:lncRNA from 1 species